CGUAUCCAUAAUGUAAUUAAAACAAGGGGGGAAAAAUUAUCAUGGAGGCAGAGGUUAAUGCAAGUGUUUAGCAGAUGCCUUACUGUAAAAUCUUCAUUAAAAAAAAAGGCCAACAAACUCAUUAAAACUUAAAUAUCGGAAAAUCUCAAGCCAGCUUGCUGACUGCAUGUACGCAUCUCGACAAGUACUCAUCCGAACCAGUAAAGUUCCUGAAAUCAGUUUCAUGCUUGUUUAACUAGACUGAUUGUAUUUUACUUGAUGCUAAGAAGAAAAUGGCAUUGGCAAGGCCGGAAAGGUACAUUUGCUUGCAAAGAGAGCUGUGUUUCUUUGCACUCUCCUUAUUUGUGUAGGAGCUUUCCAAUAUACUGCAGCCUGGACUGGAAUUGUGACAGUCUCUGUGGAAAGCCACUACAGUGACUCCGAUAACAUCUCCAGUGAUGAAGGAAACGGAAAACAUGAGACAGAGAAAAAGUAAUAAAAGAGGCACCGGAGAAAUAUCAUUUGAAGGUCAACCUGUCAGUGUGGGUUAAUGAAAAGGACUUCUGCCUAAUGGGCCUGCUUAUACCCUCAGUUACACUCACACAACCUUGAUUUCAACGUCGAGGGCAGAGGGCAGAAUUGGGCCCACCAGCCCCGAAUUAAUUGCUGCCAUUGGAGGUGGAGGAACCCUGGUUUACGUUACUAUUAUCGGUAAUGAACGCCCACAUAUUUCAGGCAUGAUAAUCUCGCAGCCGUUGUGUAUACAAAAAAGAGCAGGGACGAGAAAAACCCAAGACACUGACCGUUUUGUAAGUUGCAACGAUGGGCGGUAAGCGCGGGACCGUACACACUUGACCACUGCAUGUGUAAGCAAUUAUUCGAGGAUUGCUUAUAUUUGUGACCGAGGAUCCAGAUUUGUAUUCAAACCUUAGAAAGGAAUAACGGAAAGAGAGGAAGAACAGGACAAACGCAAAUCAAAACCUUUUCUUUGUCAGGAGAGAAAUA